rnacentral:rRNA from 1 species
GUGUCAGCCGCCGCGGUAAUACGUAGGUGGCAAGCGUUGUCCGGAAUUAUUGGGCGUAAAGCGCGCGCAGGCGGUCCUUUAAGUCUGAUGUGAAAGCCCACGGCUCAACCGUGGAGGGUCAUUGGAAACUGGGGGACUUGAGUACAGAAGAGAAGAGUGGAAUUCCACGUGUAGCGGUGAAAUGCGUAGAGAUGUGGAGGAACACCAGUGGCGAAGGCGACUCUUUGGUCUGUAACUGACGCUGAGGCGCGAAAGCGUGGGGAGCAAACAGGAUUAGAUACCCCCGUAGUCC